rnacentral:rRNA from 1 species
GACGAACGCUGGCGGCGUGCUUAACACAUGCAAGUCGAACGGAAAGGCCCUGCUUUUGUGGGGUGCUCGAGUGGCGAACGGGUGAGUAACACGUGAGUAACCUGCCCUUGACUUUGGGAUAACUUCAGGAAACUGGGGCUAAUACCGGAUAGGAGCUCCUGCUGCAUGGUGGGGGUUGGAAAGUUUCGGCGGUUGGGGAUGGACUCGCGGCUUAUCAGCUUGUUGGUGGGGUAGUGGCUUACCAAGGCUUUGACGGGUAGCCGGCCUGAGAGGGUGACCGGGGACCGGGCGACUGAGUGACGGAGCAGAGGGGUACGGGGGACAACGGUGGCGAAGCGGGGCCAGGGGGCGCGAGGCUGAUACAGAGGCGCCGUGUUCGGGAAGCCGGUCUUCUGUGAGUGAACAGCAGCAGCCUGUGACCCAGCUGUACUGACGGUACCGAAUAAAGAAGCACCGGCUAACUUCGUG